rnacentral:rRNA from 1 species
GAUGAACGCUAGCUACAGGCUUAACACAUGCAAGUCGAGGGGAAACGAUAUUGGAAGCUUGCUUCCGAUAGGCGUCGACCGGCGCACGGGUGAGUAACGCGUAUCCAACCUGCCCAUCACUUGGGAAUAACCUUGCGAAAGUAAGCCUAAUGCCCAAUGACAUUUAUAGAAGGCAUCUGAAAUGAAUUAAAGAUUUAUCGGUGAUGGAUGGGGAUGCGUCUGAUUAGCUUGUUGGCGGGGUAACGGCCCACCAAGGCGACGAUCAGUAGGGGUUCUGAGAGGAAGGUCCCCCCACAUUGGAACUGAGACACGGUCCAAAACUCCUACGGGAGGCAGCAGUGAGGAAUAUUGGGUCAAUGGGCGAGAGCCUGAACCAGCCAAGUAGCGUGCAGGAAGACGGCCCUAUGGGUUGUAAACUGCUUUUAUAGGGGAAUAAAGUGAGCCACGUGUGGUUUUUUGCAUGUACCCUAUGAAUAAGGACCGGCUAAUUCCGUG